GAUGAACGCUGGCGGCGUGCCUAAUACAUGCAAGUCGAGCGAACGGACGAGAAGCUUGCUUCUCUGAUGUUAGCGGCGGACGCGUGAGUCACACGUGGAUCACCUCCCUAUAAGUCUGGGAUAACUUCGGGAAACCGGAGCUUAUACCGGAUGAUAUUUUGAACCGCAUGGUUCAAAAGUGAAAGACGGUCUUGCUGUCACUUAUAGAUGGAUCCGCGCUGCAUUAGCUAGUUGGUAAGGUAACGGCUUACCAAGGCAACGAUGCAUAGCCGGCCUGGGGGGCUGAGCGGGCGGACGGGAGCAGUGACACGGUCCUGCGUCCUAGGGGAGGAAGCAGGGGAGAAGCGGCGGCAAUUGGCGAAUGCACGAAGGAGCGACGCAGCGUGAGUGAGUAGGGGCUGCGGAUCGUAAGACUGUGUUAUUAGGGAUGAAGAUAAGUGUAAGUAACUGUGCACGUGUUGACGGUACCGGGUCAAGAAGCCACGGCUAACUACGUG
rnacentral:rRNA from 1 species